CAGUCGCCGCGGUAAUACAGAGGGUGCGAGCGUUAAUCGGAUUUACUGGGCGUAAAGCGUGCGUAGGCGGCUUCUUAAGUCGGAUGUGAAAUCCCUGAGCUUAACUUGGGAAUUGCAUUCGAUACUGGUUAGCUAGAGUGUGGGAGAGGAUGGUAGAAUUCCAGGUGUAGCGGUGAAAUGCGUAGAGAUCUGGAGGAAUACCGAUGGCGAAGGCAGCCAUCUGGCCUAACACUGACGCUGAGGUAAGAAAGCAUGGGGAGCAAACAGGAUUAGAUACCCCUGUAGUCCCUGUCUCUUAUAC
rnacentral:rRNA from 1 species